rnacentral:SRP_RNA from 1 species
GCUGGGCAUGGUGGCAAAUGCCUGUGAUCCCUGCUACCGGGAGGAUGAAACCAGUAGGUUGCUUGAGCUCAGGAGUUCUGAGCUACAAUGUGGCUAAAACCAAUUGGGUAACUGCUCCAAGUCUGGCACCACUAUGGAAAGCCCCUGGGAGCACCGAGCCACCAGGCUGCCUAUGGAGGGAUGAACUGUCUAAAAUCAGAAAUAAAGCAGGUCAAAGUUUCUGUGCUAACCAGUAGUGGAAUUGAGCCCAUGAGUGGCCACUGCCCUUUGACCCUGGGGAAAGAGAGACCCAUCU